UCCUCGUUAGCUCAAUUGGUAGAGUGUUCUACUGGAAAUAGAGAGGUCCCUGAUUCGACACUUGGACCAGGCG
rfam:Ixodes scapularis strain Wikel colony gcontig_1108379866288, whole genome shotgun sequence.